AAUCAACGCUGGCGGCGUGCCUAACACAUGCAAGUCGAACGCGAAAGUCCCGCAAGGGAUUAGUAGAGUGGCAAACGGGUGAGUAACACGUGGGUGACCUGCCUUCGAGCGGGGGAUAACGUCCCGAAAGGGACGCUAAUACCGCAUAACAUCCUGCCUUUUAACAGGCGGUGAUCAAAGCCGGGGAUUCGCAAGAACCUGGCACUUGAAGAGGGGCCCGCGCCUGAUUAGCUAGUUGGGGGGUAAUGGCCUACCAAGGCAACGAUCAGUAUCCGGCCUGAGAGGGCGGACGGACACACUGGGACUGAGACACGGCCCAGACUCCUACGGGAGGCAGCAGUGGGGAAUUGUUCGCAAUGGGCGCAAGCCUGACGACGCAACGCCGCGUGGAGGAUGAAGACCU
rnacentral:rRNA from 1 species